GUAAGCCUAGGGAAAGACGCUGCUAGGUGCUGCUGCUAAAUCCCUGUGGUUUCUGCCGGCUCACGUAGGUUCGUUCGCGUGGUCUUGUUACGCCUCGCUGGAUCGUGUUCACUCAUGCCGUCCUUGCGCGGCGUCAUUGUCGGCGAGUCAGGUUAAAUUCUUUAAUAGGUCGCGCCUGCGCCUAAUUGAGUCUAUUAAAGACUGCACAUUCAGUUUUGCUGGCUACAAUUCAGUGUGGCUGGCGUGGGCUGUCUCCACGAUGCGCUUCGAGCGUGUCGAUUUCGCCGUUCUUUAUGUUGGCGGAAAUGACCGUGAAAGCAACAUGGAUCUACAAGAAAUAUGCAACAACAUCAAGGCCUUGAUUGUUCAGCGAGACGGCGCCCGUCGUGCUGGUUUUCAAGGUGCUCUCUCGCUGGCUAGAAGAUGCUGAUGCGGAACAGAAAAUGCAAAAACGUCGCUUGCUCAACCGCAAAUUGACGGCUACGCUGAAGCGCAUGCCGUGUCUGCGGAAUUUGAACCCCGAGAGCUGUCCGCUUUGCUGCAGCCAAUUGGAACACCAGACGACGCUGGCGUGUGCGCGAUAAGGAUGGACGACCGGUGCUACGAGACGGCGACAAGUGCACCACAAAAACCUUUCCAGAGUUCCUUGGAAAAUCCUCCCAUGCACCUGCCAUGUACAUUGCCCCCGCCCCCUCCUCGAUGUGGCAUGCAAGAUGGCAGCAGCAGCUGUGGAACAGUUGAAGAGGGGAAGAAAGGUCCACAUUAUAAUAGGUUGUAUGUAAAUAAAACUGAUCGAACACAACUGA